CGCGAAUGAAUGCAAAAACAGUAUUACGAAAUGUUUAUUACACUCCUUACCUAUUGUUUCUUCCAUUAUAAAAGUGAUGUACGGUCUUAUCCUACAGG